rnacentral:rRNA from 1 species
GAUGAACGCUAGCUACAGGCUUAACACAUGCAAGUCGAGGGGCAGCGCAGUGUAGCAAUACACGGGCGGCGACCGGCGCACGGGUGCGUAACGCGUAUCCAACCUUCCCGAUACUCAGGGAUAGCCCUUCCGAAAGGGAGAUUAAUACCUGAUGGUGUUUCAAUUCCGCAUGUUAAUGAAACUAAAGAUUUAUCGGUAUCGGAUGGGGAUGCGUGACAUUAGAUAGUAGGCGGGGUAACGGCCCCACCUAGUCUACGAUGUCUAGGGGGUUCCUGAGAGGGAAGGUUCCCCCCCACACCUGGAACUGAGACACGGUCCAGACUCCUACGGGAGGCAGCAGUG